GCCGUUUCCCGAAAUCCCGAAUCUCUACCACUCUCCCGCACCAGCGCACCUCUCGAUCUCUCCACUCUCCCGCACCAGCGCACCUCACAGUCCUCGUCUCCUACUCUUUUGACUCUCCUCUAAGUCUCCGACUCCUGUUCUUCUCGAGACUUGGACUCCUCGACGCCUCACUGGCCUCAGACCUCAACCCAGUCAACCAAACUCGACGCCGAGCGAGAUCUACUCCCCGAUGCCGACGAGGUCCACUCCUCGACGCUGCCGAUCUCCACUAUCCCUGGCGCCAUAGAGCUCCACUAUCCCUCAUCAUAUCUCUCCUCCAGGUAAGAAAGCCAAAAAGAGGCACACACAUCAGAAAUCCCAGAAGAAAUCAGAUUGUGUUAUUGGAGUCUCGGGAUCGGCUUGGUGGUCAAGUUCACACUGAUUACUAGUUUGGGUUUCCGGUUGACUUGGGUGCAUCAUGGUUUCAUGGAGUAAGUAUCGAGAAUCUCUUGGCUCCAUUGAUUGGGAGACUGGGUUUGCCUUUGUAUCGAACCAGUGGUGAUAACUCUGUGUUGUAUGAUCAUGACUUAGAAAGAAGCAGCCUGAGCUCCACACUGUCCAAAGGAGCUAGCUUUGCCUUACAGGAGCAACAUCUUCUUUUGAGAAUGGUGGCAACAUAACACCACUCCAAGGGCUUGAGGAAUAUGAGGACAUGAGGGCAUGUGGCAAUGAAAACAGCUCAAGAGAAAUUUUUUAUGUCUAUAUUGUGAGCUUAUUAAUUUGGAGUUCUGGAAUCUGGACUAUGAAUAUUAACUUUAUCAAUUCCAACUUGGACCACAAUAAAUAUAGUUUGAUUUGGAUAUACCUAAGUAAAUUUCAUGAAUUCUGUAUUGAUAGAACUUGGGAGCUCAUAUCCUUGUAUAACUUGGACUUUUACAGAUUUUUU